UCUGGAUGGAAAGAGAUGAGAGGACGAGUGUGUUUUCUUCAAGGUGUCCCCUCACGGACUGCUAAUUACACACUCAGCAUCUUCCCUGCAAAGGACGCCACUAAAAUAACGGCUACUCGAGGUCUCGCUUCAGACCCGGCAGGUAAAAAUCUGCAACACACUGCUGCCUGCUUCCUCAUUCUCUAUACUUGAGAGUCCGGUCUAUGCUAAGUCAAAAUGAAGGAGAGGACGCUUAUGCUAUAAAGGAAGUACAACCUUCAUUCAGGAGCUGACAGAAUGAUUUUUCACUAGCCCCAUCUGAACACUUGAAACAGUUUUAACUGCUUUCCGCUGGCUUGUAAGUGGUGACCUCCGUAUGCACUGAAUGGGGGAAAGCGAAACAGUGACUGCAGCCAGCCAGUUGGAGGAUCAGCACCAAUGGAGAAAAAGAGAUCGCAAGAAUUCAGACCGGGCGGCUGCCUUCCUUUAUACGACAGAAUGUCCUCUGCUUUCAUUAUCGUGGGCCGAGCUGUCUGGCACACAAGGGUGUGAAAAGCAUUGAGAAAUUACACUGAAGUAUGGCUACGGUGUCAAAGGUUUACAGUAUCUAGUCAAAAACUUUCUCAAGUUAAAGUACAAAAGUUUGCACAUUGUAAACUUCUUAGUUUUAGAAAUAGACGAGACAUGAAAGCGAGAUGAAAUCACAAGACAGUGGAGAUUUCCUCAUUUAAGUUUGUUGUACAAACUACAAACAAUCUAGAAUUGAAAACUUGUUAGAAU